rnacentral:misc_RNA from 1 species
GUAUAUGUUUUAUAGGCACAACAUUCUAUUAACAUACAUUGGGGUAAAUGAAGAAGCAACAUAGACCUGGGGAGGUCUACAAAGGGUGCACAGGUGGAAAUAUAAAGAUGACAAGGUGUGCACAUGCUCCCUGGAGAACCAGCAACAACCCAUCAGGUUUAUUUCAAUAAUGAUCCUUCCGCAGGUUCACCUACGGAAA